CCUACGGGGGGCAGCAGUCGGGAAUAUUGCGCAAUGGAGGAAACUCUGACGCAGUGACGCCGCGUAUGGGAAGAAGGUUUUCGGAUUGUAAACCAUUUUAGACAAGGAAGAAACAAGACAGUACUUGUAGAAUAAGCUCCGGCUAACUACGUGCCAGCAGCCGCGGUAAUACGUAGGGAGCAAGCGUUAUCCGGAUUUAUUGGGUGUAAAGGGUGCGUAGACGGGAAGGUAAGUUAGUUGUGAAAUCCCUCGGCUCAACUGAGGAACUGCGACUAAAACUGCUUUUCUUGAGUGCUGGAGAGGAAAGUGGAAUUCCUAGUGUAGCGGUGAAAUGCGUAGAUAUUAGGAGGAACACCAGUGGCGAAGGCGACUUUCUGGACAGCAACUGACGUUGAGGCACGAAAGUGUGGGGAGCAAACAGGAUUAGAUACCCCUGUAGUC
rnacentral:rRNA from 1 species